GAUGACCUCUAGCGACAGGCUUAACACAUGCAAGUCGAGGGGCAGCAUGAUUUGUAGCAAUACAGAUUGAUGGCGACCGGCGCACGGGUGAGUAACGCGUAUGCAACUUACCUAUCAGAGGGGGAUAGCCCGGCGAAAGUCGGAUUAAUACCCCAUAAAACAGGGGUCCCGCAUGGGAAUAUUUGUUAAAGAUUCAUCGCUGAUAGAUAGGCAUGCGUUCCAUUAGGCAGUUGGCGGGGUAACGGCCCACCAAACCGACGAUGGAUAGGGGUUCUGAGAGGAAGGUCCCCCACAUUGGUACUGAGACACGGACCAAACUCCUACGGGAGGCAGCAGUGAGGAAUAUUGGUCAAUGGCCGAGAGGCUGAACCAGCCAAGUCGCGUGAAGGAAGAAGGAUCUAUGGUUUGUAAACUUCUUUUAUAGGGGAAUAAAGUGGAGGACGUGUCCUUUUUUGUAUGUACCCUAUGAAUAAGCAUCGGCUAACUCCGUGCCAGCAGCCGCGGUAAUACGGAGGAUGCGAGCGUUAUCCGGAUUUAUUGGGUUUAAAGGGUGCGUAGGUGGUGAUUUAAGUCAGCGGUGAAAGUUUGUGGCUCAACCAUAAAAUUGCCGUUGAAACUGGGUUACUUGAGUGUGUUUGAGGUAGGCGGAAUGCGUGGUGUAGCGGUGAAAUGCAUAGAUAUCACGCAGAACUCCGAUUGCGAAGGCAGCUUACUAAACCAUAACUGACACUGAAGCACGAAAGCGUGGGGAUCAAACAGGAUUAGAUACCCUGGUAGUCCACGCAGUAA
rnacentral:rRNA from 1 species